GAAGGUAGCUCAGGAUUCCCUGGCCUCCCUGGAAGAAAGACUGGCAGCAGUAAAAUGGCCAAGCUUCCUACAAGAAGUAGAUUGAAUAGCCUUCUCCUGCUAUGACUUGGGACUGCUGGGAGACGGCCAUUAUUCACUGACGUCUAGGCAGCUGCUUCAUUAGCAUCCUCAGGGAGUCAAGGAAUAUCCUAAGGAAGUUUAUUUUACUUGGAGAGGCAGUGUAAUAGAGUGGAAAGAACACCGGCCUUGGAGAGAAAUAGCAUGGUGUCAUGGUAAGCCCAC
rnacentral:lncRNA from 1 species